ACUCUAGCAUACUCCAUUGCACAGGCAAGCACACCGAUAGAUAUGCCAGACGUAUGAACCAAGCGAUCUCAGUUGGCGUUUGAGGGGAUGAGUCCGAGAGGAUAAGAAAAGGCCGCGCCGAAAAAGAAGCCACGAGACGGGGGAGGAAGGAAGGAAGGAUGGAAAGGAUAUGCUAGCUCCAGCCACCUUCUUUUGUCCUGACCGGACCCGCAGUCCAACUCCCCAUCAAACUCAAAAAAGUGCUCCGGAAGGAAUCCAAAUCAAUCAAAAUCGGCCUCCCCUUGAGUCGAUCAAGACUAGACAUUCCAUCACACUCCUCCGCAAGCGAUCAUCUCCGUCUCCCCCACGCACGCGGCCACAGAAGCCAUUGCUCGCCACGGCAACCAAGUAGUGAUCGACGACGCGCCCACAAAAUAUUCCACCUCGCUUUCCGCCCACCCGCCACCACAACCAGGGAAAACACCAGAACCUGAUUCCAUUCCUCUGCCUCUUUUAUUCGUGGAGUAGCCAGCCGGGUAGACAGAGUCCUCUCCUCUUCUAGAGAGCUUAAUUGGCGGCCGUCAGGACUUGCCCCAGAGCAUGUGCCAUCCGGGGCUACCGCCUCUGCCGCCGGGCUGCGUGGUCAGGCGGCGGGCGCGAGACGCAGCAGCGCCCACGCCCGUGCCGCAGCGGCAGAGGCACUACUACUGCGUGUGCUCGCCGACGUCGCACCGGGGCUCGUUCCGGUGCCGCUGGCACCGCAGCAGCUACCAGUGGGGCAGCGGCCGCGGCAGGGCCGUGCCGUAGCCGAGGUGACGCGUGCUGGCAGGAUGGCGAAUUGGUGACUCCUUCCUUCGCGGCGGCCGGAGCCACGUGCCGACUACGCAAUGUACACUUACCUCGGACUCAACCCUAUCAAACUUGAGAGUUCCGGAUUGGAUCUCUCCCCAGUAGAAGCCAGAUUCCUCCCACAGGUUUUUGAAUUUCUCCAGUUUCGAAUCAAUGAGUGAUUUGACAUUUCUCUGUCAUAAGAACACGCCAAUGUCAAAGUGAGAUGCAUUAAUGUGCAAAAUCGUUUUUAUUUUGAA